CCAAUUAAAUUUAACUUUCAGAUAAACAAUGAAACCUUUUUUUUUUAGUGUAAGUAUAUCCCAUCCAAUAUUUGGGACAUACUUAUUCUAAAACUUAUUUGUUGUUUAUCUGAAAUUCAAA
ensembl:miRNA